GAUGAACGCUGGCGGCGUGCCUAAUACAUGCAAGUAGAACGCUGAAGGAGGAGCUUGCUCUUCUGGAUGAGUUGCGAACGGGUGAGUAACGCGUAGGUAACCUGCCUGGUAGCGGGGGAUAACUAUUGGAAACGAUAGCUAAUACCGCAUGACAACAGUUAUUGCAUGAUAACUGUUUAAAAGGGGCAACUGCUCCACUACCAGAUGGACCUGCGUUGUAUUAGCUAGUUGGUGAGGUAACGGCUCACCAAGGCGACGAUACAUAGCCGACCUGAGAGGGGGAUCGGCCACACUGGGACUGAGACACGGCCCAGACUCCUACGGGGGGCAGCAGUAGGGAAUCUUCGGCAAUGGACGGAAGUCUGACCGAGCAACGCCGCGUGAGUGAAGAAGGUUUUCGGAUCGUAAAGCUCUGUUGUAAGAGAAGAACGAGUGUGAGAGUGGAAAGUUCACACUGUGACGGUAGCUUACCAGAAAGGGACGGCUAACUACGUG
rnacentral:rRNA from 1 species